rnacentral:rRNA from 1 species
UACGUAGGGGGCGAGCGUUAUCCGGAUUUAUUGGGCGUAAAGCGUGUGUAGGUGGUUCGUAAGGUCAGGCGUAAAAUAUCACAGCUUAACUGUGUAGGGCGUUUGAAACCGACGGACUUGAAUACGGUAGAGGCAGGUGGAAUUCCAUGUGUAGCGGUGGAAUGCGUAGAUAUAUGGAGGAACACCAAUGGCGAAGGCAACCUGCUGGGCCGGAAUUGACACUGAGACACGAAAGCGUGGGGAGCAAACAGG